UACGAAGGGUGCAAGCGUUAAUCGGAAUUACUGGGCGUAAAGCGUGCGUAGGCGGUUUCUUAAGUCUGCUGUGAAAUCCCCGGGCUCAACCUGGGAAUGGCAGUGGAUACUGGGAGGCUAGAGUGUGUCAGAGGAUGGUGGAAUUCCCGGUGUAGCGGUGAAAUGCGUAGAGAUCGGGAGGAACACCAGUGGCGAAGGCGGCCUUCUGGACCAGUACUGACGCUCAUGCACGAAAGCGUGGGGAGCAAACAGG
rnacentral:rRNA from 1 species